AAAGAGCGAUAAUUGUUUGGCUUCCUUUGAGUCAAGUGCAAAUCUGCUUCGAAAGAAAAGGUGGUAAAACUUUAUUUUCAGGAUGAUCUCCAAUUACAUUGUAUCCGCAGUCAUGCUUGCUGCAUAUGUGACCUAUGCAGCAGCUGCUAAAGGUUAAAACUCCAUAAAAUGAUACUCCAAAUUAGCAGCACAAUGGGAAACGACUUUACCGAAGACUUGGCUUUAAUACCAUAGCAACGCAUUCCAAAUACACCUCUCAAAAUUUCAUAUUUCGCCAGCAUGUGUAAUACUUUAUCUCCAAAUAAUUGUAGACUAGUAAUGAAACAAUAAAAAAAACAUUUUGCUGUGA